ensembl:lncRNA
GUGGGAGCGGCGGGGCUUCCGGGGAGGACGCUGGGACGCGCGGACGAGGCUCCCGGUUUAGGGAAUGGGUGGCUUUCGGAGGCUCCUGGGGGCCCGGCAUGCCCGCUGCUUGCGGGGCGUCCCAGGCUGUGCAGGAUCCCUGAGACGCUGCACCUGGGGCCUCAUAACGCUCAAACACUUUUACAUGCUGCUGGAGCUCAUAGUGGUCAGGAAAAUUUUUUAAAAUAGGCUGGGAAGUUGAAGCACAUGGCUGUGGCUUCUGGUGAGAGGUUUCAGGCUGUGUCAUAAUAUGGCAGAGAAGAUCAGUGGGUAAGUGGACAUGUGUGAAGAGAGGCAAAACCAGAGAGCACCCAGGCUGGACUUGAGCUCUUUCCUGGACUUAAGUGAUCCUCCUGCCUCAGCCUCCUGAAUAGUUUAACUUGACAAGAGUAGAAAAAUGUCAAGGUACAAGACAAUGCAAAACGUAAGGACAAAGGAGAAAAGCUUCCCCUUUCACCCUCUGAAGGUUUGGCUGAAAAUGAGCUGAAAAAGGCAGAGCAACAGGAGAAAAGGCAUGCGUUUAUUUUAACGUGCAUACCACGGGGAAUUGCAGAAGAGUAAUGACCUCAUAACCCAGCAGGGUCCAGAUGCCCAUAUACCCUCUCUUCAUAGGAAGUGGAGCCAGAAUCCACAGAUGUCAUUAUCCAUCUGCACACUUUGUUUACUACCCAGAAGGCAAGAAUAUUGCAUUUUAAAAGUAUCCGGACUUUUGUUCUUUAUCACAAAUGACUUGGGAAGCUCUGACCACUCAUGUUUACCCUGAGUGAAAGUCCCAGUCAAAGCCUUGCUUCCUGGAGAGCUUUGAGAUUCUGGUACAAAGGCAUUUUAUAAGCACAAAGUGGAAAAGCAUCAUUCAUAUUCAUUUGCUGCUGUGGCAUUUCUCCCUGGAAUCUUCCUCUUGUCUGUCAACAUUAGGCAAAAGGACUACUCCUCAUGUACUUUACAAAUAUUCUUGUCAUGGUCUGGAGGUAGGAAAAGGACACCCAGCACAAGAGUAAAAAGGGAAACUCAAGCUCUUCUGUUGGAGAGUCUCAGGCUUCUUUAUCCAUAAAACUGAUUGGACAUAAUUGGUGUGGGUUGAUGAUUUGUUUUGGAAAAACCCGAGUAUGAAAUCAAUACCGUGCUUUGUGCAUCUUGGCUGCAAUGAGUGUUUUUUAUGUGAUUGCAGGGACCGGUGGGAGAGGCGGCCAUCCGGAGGGCUCUCUGAGGGGUCAUUUAGAAUGCAGCUGCUCUGGGCAGAGGAUGGUCUGGGCUGGCCUCCGCUGCACUGAGAGGCUUGCAGAGUGGAGAAAUGUCCACUAGCAUGGCUUCUGUGAGGUGUGGGCAGCUCUUUUCUUGGUGUGGGGCUCUGUUUGGUGUGAUAUAAGAGAUAUCGCAGGGCUUUCCUGUCCCGGAAGAUCUUGGUGGGUGACACCUGUGGGGGUUGCCAGCUGGAUUAGGUGAGGCAGAGCACACAGCUCUACCUAACAAGUCCCAUUCUCAUCUGGGAAUAUUCCAGGACAUGGGCACUACCCAAGAGGCAGAGCCUGGAGUGCCGUUAUACAGGUGAAAGAUCUGAGUGCCAGGUCCAUGUAAAUGAGGUGGGUUGGGGUGGUCGAGGUGCUUAGAGAACAGGAGAGCUGCCACAGGAAGGGAUGGUACCCACAGGGAGGAAGACCCAUGUCUCAGACCCCUUCCUUUAUACCUCUUCCUGGGACCUCCUCGGAGUCUGCAGAUCAGCUGCUGCUUCUCCGUCUUCUGUCGUCGUCUUCAAAUCUUUUCAUCACAAAAAAUGCUGAGUGUAAACCUAAGUAGAGAGAACAGUAAAAGGAACUCCCAUGAGCCGUCACCAUCACCUACCAUCAACAGCGAUCAACACAUGGGCCGUCUACGUCCGUCUUCCCUACUUGCAUCCCCGCUCCAGAUUAUUAUCACAAGUAGCUCAUCCCUGGUUAUAUUGCAUUUAAUCCUCUCUGUUGCAUUUUUUUCUGGCCACGUUCUUCUGUCUGUCAAUCAUUGUUUUAAGUCAGACAGUCUGCUGGGUUGGC